rnacentral:lncRNA from 1 species
UUACCAAAUAUUUUCAGAAUGGAGAUGCUAAACAAAGGGUAAUCGACAAAUGUCGUAGGUGUAAUUACUCUAGCCAUACCCAAUCCCACAUGCAGAUCUUACUGUUAAUGGGUCUUAUUGGCCGCCACUCGGGGAAUCCACAUAGAACUCAAGGCAUGAAAGGGUGUAUUGACUAGCUGCAAGGCAUUCGAAGGAGUAGUUUGAAG